GCGCGCAGCCGGGGAGUUAGCGGUGCCCUGAACCUGCAAUCCGCUAUAGCAGGGGUGAUGCCAAUCUGAGGACUGUUUCUUGUGGAGCUGCCCUCUAUAAGUGGCGUUGACGUUUGGGUCUUACGCAACAGAAACCUGUGAACCGUGUCAGGGCAGGAAUGCAGCAGCACUAAGCAGGAGCUUCUGUGUGCCGUGAGGGUGCCUGGGCUGAGUUAACUGUAGAGGUAACGUCUGUGAGUUCGUUUCGAGGUGCGGCGCGC
rnacentral:SRP_RNA from 1 species